rnacentral:lncRNA from 1 species
UGUUUUAGAUGAGAAAUCUGGAAGACUUGAGCAUUUAACUGAUGCUGCAGUUCCACAUCUCUUAUAUCAGUCCUCAGCUGGUGCCGCAGCCUACCAUGUGUCCUGCAACAGAAGGAGACCAGGAAUUUCCUCAAAUCUGACAUUGAAGUCUUCUUGUUCUCCACAGAUAUUUAUUAUUAUAUAUUAUUAUGUAAAUCUGUAUCUCUUCAUUUCUCUUUUCCCUAAGUAAGCUCUUAAGGGAAAGAAGCCAGUAUAGUCCAUGGUCUUUGUAGUCUCAAGUUGACACUCUGAUCUCAUGUUAUUCUCCAUCUGCUUAUCAUUCUACACUACCAUCAGUGAUGAGUUAGGUGAUAGCAAUAUCUUUCCAUGCCAUAGAUGACCUAUUCCCAACUUCCCCUGACAAGAUGAUUCUCCCUGUACUCCAUGAAUUUAGGAGAGAGAAUCCCAGAAUCUCUUUUCUAUGUCCUAUUUUCUAUGUCCACUUCCAGUCCCAAUAAACCCUAAAUAUGAUUCCAACCAUGGUAUUAUUCAGGGUCACAGCAGGAAAGAAAAUACAUAUUCAAAUUAGGACAAAUCAAAGGAGACUUAUUAUAAAAAGGGACAAUUUACCAAGAUGGCAUUUAGGGAAAACACAAGUGAGAGUGCUUUAUUCCAGGUUGUUAAGACUCAUAGUGCAAAGGUAUCAGUGAGAGGAGUGAGUAAUUUUCAGAAUCCAGAAUUUGAGAGACGAGAAGGUGGCUUUUGCAGGUUCUGGUAAAAGAGUGUUCCAGGAAAAACGUACAGAGACCCGAGAAUCCAGAGGAAGAACAAGUGGGACAGUCCCUGGAACAGAGUAAGAGGAAGGCUCUUAGGAAAGAGGAGAAAGAGGGAGAAUAGUGUGGGAAUUGUGGUGCUUUUGUUUUUACUGUCAUUUCAUAGGAAAAUUUCAGAAGUUUCCCGCAGAUUAGUGAUCAAAUGUGAGUCCCAUUUUAAAAGAAUCACACAGAAAACUCUGGCAACAACAGACAUGGAGAGUAGUUGGAAAGUAAUCUCUGCGAAAGGACCAGCGAGGUGGUGGAGGAGGUGGCACACAGUGGUCAGAUCCUACCGACAUUUUGAAAACCGAACCUUAUAGGAGUUGCUGAGGAGUUGAAUAUGAGUCAUUAGAAAAGAAGGAAUAAAGAGUCAAGUGGGGGACUGAAUAGAUUUUAAGACUGAAUUUGCCACUGACAGAUUUGGAGAAGAUUAUGAAAAGAAAAUCAUUUGGUGGGAAAAAUAGGGAUUUUUGUUUUGAUCAUGUUAGACUUGUGCUUUUAGAAAGCCAAGUGGAGGUGUGAAGUAGGUAACUAGAUAUGUAGACUAAAGUUCAAGGGGAAAGUCUGGUUCAGCGAUGUAACACAGGAGCAUCAGCACAUGAAUGGAUUGCAAGCCAGCACUCGAUCAGAUAAUCUAGGAGUGGAUAGCAAUAUGGAAGAGAACCAGCAAUUUCAGAUAUGAACUGGGCUCCAAGCAAAUUUCAUCCUAACCUGAUUAUUCUGAGGACCUUUAAAAUUAUGGAAGGUCCAGAGUCUAUUUUAUUCCUCAGUGGAACUACAGAAAGUUCUGAUUUAAGGCUGCCAACACUCAUGGGCAAUUCAAUAAAGAAGAACAUGGAUGUGAGAGAAAACACAAUCUCUUUAGACUUGUAUUUCUUCAUUCCCUCAGGUUUCACACAUUUGUAAUGUGCCAGAAAGUAUUUAGUACCGACUUCAUUAGAGCCUCCAGAACGUGAAUGGUGCACAGCCAGUACUUAGACCUUUUGGAGGAAAAACUUUGGCCAGUUGAAUCCAAACUAAUUUCUUAAGGAUUUUUCUGAGCAAUCCUUUAGAGACCAUAGGGAAAAGAAUUAAUAUGCAUCCUCCAUGGACAGUAGCAAUGCUCGUAGUUUGUCCUCUAGUAAAAUCACCAAGGCCCAAAGCAGACUUAAAGCUUUUGAAUAAAAAUUUGUGUCCAGUAGCCACCAGCAGUGCCUUUGAUGAUAUCCCCCAAGGGCAUCCAAACUGUGAGCCCCCUUCAAUCAAUCUAGCAUUCUGACUUGCAUGUCAAAAACUUACUCCUGGACAAAUGGUUUCAAUAUAUUUUUUAUUGUUGGUAAUCACAAUGUCCCAUGACACUUCUGCCCUGGUGUUUGCUCUGGUUUUCACCGGAAGAUAACAAGCUAUAGAUAUUAAAUGAUUUGUCAAGAGUCACAGAGCAAGUCAGAAAUUGGCUGAUUCCAGCCCUGGAUUUACUGCCUUGCUUCCCCCACCCCACUUUAUUUCAACAAAGGAUCUGUUUAAAACUACACACAGUGACCAGCAAAUGUCAGUUUUAGAUGCACUAAUAAAAUGGAGCAGCUUGGAAGCCAAUAUAAUUUGAACCCUGUUCCCAGUAGCCCUUCAGUCUUCAAAUUUUGAGUAUUACUUUCCCAAUUUUGAAAGAUAAUGGAGAAAGAGGACAGAAAUAAACACUGGCUGCAACUAAAAAUAUUUUUUAAAGUAUACUAAGCAGUAAACAAUGAUUAAAUCCUUUACCAAGUGUUGUCAGAACAUCCCAUAUAUUAUUUCAUGACCCUUUAAAAAUAGCAUUUUUAUUUUGCUGACUUAGUUGGUUGAGCCUCAUAAGAAUGUGGACAUCAUGAACCAGGCAAGUGAAGAACUUCCAGUGUGUUCCUCCUGGUAAGCCUGUGCCUAAUGUGGGACAAAACACAAUUUCCCCACUAGUAAAUCUGAGCUAUAACACUUGCUCUGUUUACCUUAUGAGUGGUCAUGAAGAUCAAAUAAGUUAUUUCAGGCUAAACUGUAAGCACUAAACAAAUAAUAAUAAAAAUAAAGAUAGUAAUAGAUAAUAUUAAACAGUACCUUGGGCUAGGUACUCUUUGAAGUAUGUCUCUAAAUCUUCACAGCAGCCCCAUUGAAAUAUUGUUUAUUUUAUAAACAAUAUUAUAAACAUAGCACAUCGAAAUAUUGUUUAUUUUCAUUAAUCCAUUUCUUAGCUAAUAUAUUCAAGUGCUAGAUAUACACAACUCUUGAUGCUAUUCUUACAUGGAUAUUAAAAAGGAAUCAUGAACUACCUUCCCAACCACCUAUUAACUUUGACCUUGCUGAGUGAUGAGUCAAUUCUAAGGAGGCCAGGAAAUGCAUCACAGCCUCAAAUCCACAAGUGAGUUGUGAAUGAAACUAUGAAAGCCCUAGAGUUCCACACAGGAAUUUAGGUUUCAAAGCAGCAGUGUAAUUAAGGCAGAAGUAGGUGCUACAGUGUGCGGGUUAGGAAAUUGGUUUUGAAACAGUGUUUGCAUAGCAAUCAUACUGUAUUUUUGUGUAAUGAAUAAUACAUGUAUAAUAUAUGCAAUGCAUUUAAAUAUAUGCCAUGGC